UGAAAAAGGCAUAACAAGGAAAGAGAAAGAAGGCACGAAAGUAAGGAUCUUUAUUAUUUCAGUUAUUUAUUUCUUUAUUUUUCUCCCCCUGCUCCCUCGUUGACCUUCUGUUUGGAGAGAGGAAGGCAGCAGCACAGCACUGCUCACUGGCAAACACAGGAGAGAGGCGCCCGGUGCUGCUGCUGCUGCUGCUGCAACCGGGAUUCACCUCAUCUACACAGGACGGGAUCCUGGAUUGAUCACGGUCUUCCAAAAACUGUCAAGAUUUAAGCCUGGUUGGAGGCGGCACAGGCUCCGCGCUAAUUCGGUGAAAAUUCAGCUGCAACUCUUCCGCCUGGUGCAGCAAUGUGACAGAGAGGGGCAGCGCCGGAGGAGGCCGGGUGUUCAUUCUUCCAGGUAGAUGGGUCGAUUCAUGAAUAGGGAGAAAUAAAUAUAACGGGCGCAUAUCAGAUGCGUUGCCCCAAGCUUUACACAUGAUGCGCACCUUAACUUUCCCCAAUGACUCUCUCACAGAUAAAAAAAAAAAAAAAAAGUCACUUUUUCAGCGCAAUCAGUCCAUUUCUCCUUCCAGUCCCUAAAUAAAGCGUGUGCAUAAGUCAUUAAGCUGCUUGUGUGGAGGAAAAAGGUGCUCUCAGGCAUGAAUGAGGCCAACCCAAUGGCCAGCCAGGGUCUUCCCAAAAAAAACAUAUUCUGUUUCGGAUUCGUGUGUCCUGGCUGAUUAACCGGCCGGGGCUCCAGCAUGUUAGAUGGGAGCUGUGGAGAUGGCCCUUUAGCCCGGUGUCACAGGAGCUGACAAGAUGCAAUUACUGCGGCUGACACGUCCAACCCCAAAGCUCACUAAUGUGAGAGAUGUGGAAACCGCAGACAAUUUCUCGCACACUGUACAGCGAGAGGCAGCUCUGCGGCCAAGGAGUCCCAUUUUAAACGCGGCCCUGCGUGACGCCUUUCACCAGUAAAACAGCCGCUUAUUCAGCAGAUGAAGAUAUGGCGCGGAGCAUCAUGAGACUGUAUGUAAACGCAGGACAACAGAGAGCUAGUCUGCUCGGUUUUGAAAGAACAUACACUAUAAAAAAGGAAUUUCGGAGAUUAACUAUUACUCAGAAAAUUAUUAUUAUUAUUAUUAGUUUUGUUAAUCAGUUGGCUGGAAUACAGUUUAAGGAAUUGAUUCAGUCAGUAAACUAAUACUCAUACAUGACUAUAUUAACUUAGCAAAAAAUGAGAACUACAUAGAAACAUUUGACUGAGGAAGUUUCUGUGCUUAAGUUUGGACCCAGUUUUAGCUUGUUACCCAUCAGUGCUAACGCUAGUUUGAAAGCAGUAAGGGGAGCUGAACCAUGAGGAAAUGAUUGCCAACGAACAGUGACCUCUAGAACACAACGUGUUUGUAUGUCAAAAAAAAGGUAUUGUUGUUAUUAUUUAUUGAUUCUUGAUAGAGGAUACAAAAGCGAUGGUAGGUGAUCUUGAUAACUAGGGGGGAAACUCUUUUAAAAGAAAGCCGUGAGAUUUGAAACAAUGCGUUCAGGUUGUUCCAGCUGUGAAACACACAAAUGUUUACUUAAAAAUGUGAAUGACUUAUAACAAAAUAAAAUGUAUAAAAAUGAAAUUUUCAUCUGUCAAAUAAAAAGAAAACACUUUUUCAGCUAAGGGUAAAUGAUAAAGCAAAUGAACUAUUUACAUGUAAUGUACAAGACUUUUUAAAAAAUCUUAUAUGGAGAAACUGGUGUCAUUUGCAUAGAAGUCUUUCAGUAAGCUUGACAGCUAAAAUACCAUUAAAUCAUUUUUAAAAACUACUUACCCAAUUGAAUAAAUUAAAAUCUGAUUAUUAUUGUUUUGAUCACCUGUUGUUGUUUUUUUGUUUGUUUGUUAAAUAGAAACAAAAUAAAAUAACUAAAUUCGGACUAAAACAGAAAUAGAUCUUUUAAUACUGAGUUUUGCCUCACGGCUAAAAAGCUCAGCUUGCUAGCAUGGUUGCCUUUAGCAUUAGCUCUGUCACUAAUCUAGUUGAAACUGGAUAUGAACUUCAAUUAUUGCUCCUAUACAAAGACUCUCUAAACCAGAUACUUUAUGGAAGCUCUUAACUCAGUUUGCAUAUUCACUAAUAAUAAAACCCAUCUAGACAGAGGAGCCUUAGCAUUGCCUUAGCAUUAGCAUCUGUACUCUGUACAGAGUAAAUAUCAACAACAUAUUCAGAUAAAUCUAGUCCAAAAGUUUGGGUGAGAUUUCUUUCUGACAUAAACUAGUGAGAGUUGUAAGAAUUCAACCAUUACUGGUCAACACAUUGCAACCAGCUUAAGUUAAACAUUAUAUGGCUAAUACGUAAUAUCCUACAAAAUAAUUUUUUUAAAGUGCACUAGUUAUGUACUUAAAACCAAACCUUAACUUCAAUCAAGACAGAAACAGGUCGUCAUAAAGUAAAAACUAUUUAGUCAAAUGCUUUCAGAUUUGAGGUACUUUUCUUGAAAAACGUUUGAACAUGUCAUCUUUGUUUUUGGAGUGAAUGCAUUGUUAUACCAUUGUUUUUUGCUAACACCUCUAGCACCAAUAAACAAUAAUCACCUAUACAUAUCAGUACAAAGGCUGUUCUUUUUAGCAUUUCAAACUUUAGAGUUUGGAUUAGUAUAAAAGUGGGCUAUAAGCAUUAUAUCCCACUGAGGUGUGAAAGUUUCUUCCUGUCUCUGAUUUGACAAAUUCCAUUAGAUUUUCCCAUGACGCAAACUGUCACCCGAUUCCAGUUUAAAACCCACACUAGCUGCUUGUCACUCUCAUUUAUUCCUCUCCCAGGAUGCAGAAGUUGCGCCUCCCGAAGCACAAAGACUCCGUUAAAGCUUCUAAAGUCUCCAAUCAACCAACAUGAGUGAUCCAUAGCUGAAGUGUCCCUUCUACUCUCUUUUGACAUUACUCCACUCGAUUGCCCGUUUACCCCCGAGUCAAGUUUGAGGCGGGCAUGAAGUGUAAAAGAGGUGGGCCAUGUCAUAUCCGCUCAGUGUGCAUGGGAUUGUUGGCAUGCACGGCGGUGAUCAUUGUUCAGGGAGAACAAUUCUUGCUCAGAGCAGGCAGGGAAAAGUGAGGAGAAUGGUGGAGAACUGGGGCUAAUGAAACGAUUUGUUCACAGGUUUUUCCUCAUCAGCAGUGGCAGUGUGAUUAUACCACAAGCACAUUUUUUGCUUGCUUGUUUGUUUUUAAGCCACAUUUGUUCAUAGACAAAAUUCCACCAUCAAAUUUGCAAAACUUGAGUAACAUUUCCCUCUCCUUCCUGGACACAAAGGUAAUUUCAGUAUAAUAUAAUGCAUAUUAACAUAUUGAAACACUUAUAUAUUAUCUAUUCUACACUGAUAAAACAAAAUAUUAGAGUUGAAUACGUACAAUUGAUGAAGCACUUUGCAUAUAUUCACUUUCGAGGCUUUCUGAGUUGAAUGAUUUAAGCUCGACAGUCAGCAUGUAGAUUAGUUACUCAGCUAGUUAACUAGUUAGCACGGUUCUUUUCCUUAUUUGUCCUCCACGGUGGGAAAGAAGAACAAAAAACUAUUUUUUGUGUUUAAAGAAUGAAAUGUUACUGAUACAAUUUAGUAAAUCUUUUCUAACAAGAUUUUCCCUACCAACAAAGUUAUGCCACUUAUUUCUUCAUGGUUUAUCUGCACGUUAGCAUGUUCAACAGUAGCUUUAGCUUUGUUGCUAAACUACUUCAAGAUGGAUACAAACUUAAAUUGUUGUUGCAGUGCACUAUUUUAACCAAAAAUCUCCAGGUAAUGGUUAAUUUUAAGAUCUUCAUAUCAUAUAUAUAUAUAUAUCUUUAAUGUGGGUGUAUAAGGAGUAGAAUAAAGUUUGACUGACUCAACAUCUUCACUUCCGUUUUUCUCAAAUGUUUAAGUAGAAAUUUUAUUAAAGUAACACAAUAUCUGUGUAAUUCAACCACAAUUUUACAUUGCUUAAAUAAACUAAUAUAGGUGACCAAAAUCUACAAAUAUUAAUGGGUACAAUUUAUUCAAUUUUUAUGUGAACUUAAACAUUUAAUGGAUGGAUCUGUUGUACUAGAGAGAGAGUUGUUAUUUUGAACUCCAUGUUGACUGAAAAUUAAUUAUCUUGAAUCUUUCAGCAGAAACAAAUUGAAUCUCUAAAACAUUGAGAUCAGAAUCGGAAUGCUUUUAUUCAUAUUGUACCGAAGCGAUAACAAUACAAUUAAUUUAAGUACAUUGUAAGAAUUUGAUGUUUGCAGUUUUAGGGAAAUUUAUUUUCCAGUCUAUUGACGUAAGUCAACUCUGAAGUGUACUAUUACAGCUAAGUAGUAGACUACACAUGUUUGUUGUGUACAAAUAAAAUAAGUCUCACUGACCUAAAAUUAACGUCACCGUUUUAGUGAUUAAUCAGACAUUUACCUAGCUCUCACGUGGUUGCUAUAGGCAAUAGGUUAACACUGUAUCCUUUACAUUAUGGGGUCUCAGGUGUGUAUGUUUUCAUCGAGCGGCUUGGACUCACCAGCCAAUCAGAGGUGUUGUCCGAAAUCAACUGUCCCGUAACUGGAAACUAUAGACAAGUCUACUUAUUUACGGCUGAGCAGAGGCCGUCCGAUCUGAUUAUGGUCGGUAUAUUGGAUCAAUAACUGAUGUCUGAGAGAACCGAGAAGGGUGGAGUGCAGGGACAGGAGGGAAGCAAAGGUGCAACAGGUCACUCAUUAGGAAGGAUGAGCCAUUGAACUCUUUAUUAUUAUUUUUAUUAUUAUUAUUAUUAGUAGUAGUAGUAGUAUUAAAUAAUAACAAUAAUAAUAAUAAUAAGUACCAUUAGCC